rnacentral:rRNA from 1 species
UAAUACGUAGGUGGCAAGCGUUAUCCGGAUUUACUGGGUGUAAAGGGCGUGUAGGCGGGGCUGCAAGUCAGAUGUGAAAAUUAUGGGCUCAACUCAUAACCUGCAUUUGAAACUGUAGUUCUUGAGUGAUGGAGAGGCAGGCGGAAUUCCGUGUGUAGCGGUGAAAUGCGUAGAUAUACGGAGGAACACCAGUGGCGAAGGCGGCCUGCUGGACAUUAACUGACGCUGAGGCGCGAAAGCGUGGGGAGCAAACAGG